rnacentral:tRNA from 1 species
GAGGGUAGGGCUCAGUGGUACAGUGCAUGCUUAGCAUGCACGAGGUCCUGGGUUCAAUCCCCUGUACCUUCA